CGCGUCAUCGCGUUCCAUGUUUGUGGACAGCACAGUUGUAAACCAAAACAAGGAUGCCUGCACAUUCCGCUGCGUACGAUUGCACACGCGACGUAAAUCACAACAAGGGAAAUGGGAAUAACGUUUCAUAGCCCAGCAAAUCCUGGAUUCACAAAACAAACACAUGGAUCAGCGCUGUCACUUACAAAGCAAACAGCAGAGAGGCGCACACUCACAGCGCUGCAUAGUGGCCGGUGGCAGAAAUGCAUACGCCGAUGGACGCGUGGAUGGAUCCAUGGAUGGAUCUGGGAUGAUUGGGAAGAUAAUCAGACAGCAGCCAGAGGAAUUCAAGGAAGCGGAGACAGAGACGCUAACUCUACUUUGUGCUCCGUCGGAUCCCCUACUUUGGCCCUCGUAUCCUUGAUCCUCUCAGCUUUCUCUCCCCUUCCCUUUCCCCCUGCUCUCUUCUUUUAAGGAGGAUUGGAGUUGAUUCCAGACAAUCCAGCCCAGUUCAGGAAGUGGAACGAGAGGGACUCAGGGAAAUGCGGGAUCACGGUCGGACUUUCGUGGGGGAAAAUCGUAUCACAAUAGUGCUUGGACUCCUAUCAGAUUUAAGCGAAGGGCUUUAAAAAGCCGAGAGCUGUGCUCAGUGGUAAACUUUUAGAUUGCACGGAGAGAGGAGGUGGGGGACUGAUCCGUGAGUGAUGAGACGUCCUAGCACUGUUGUGCAGUCAUUGGUUUGCAUUCACAGCGAUAAGGUUGCAAAAGGGUAGAAAAUGUCUGGUACAUUUCUGGAAAGUUGCACUUAACAGUUUUUCGAGAUACGAACCUUUGUUAAGAUGAUUUUAUUUUGCUUUGACUUGCAAGAAAAUGUAUGUUGUACGUUGGCUGUGAAUUCAACUUACUUCACAGCAAGCGGCACUCCCAGUUGUAGUUAACAACAUUGACAUAGGAGCACCAAAAUGUCAAUUGAAUUGAAGCAAAAAAAAAUGUGCAAGCGUGGUCACGAAACAAACUUCUGUCUCACUCCAGGCACCGCUGUAUUUAAAAUUGAAAACUUUCGAGGGGAAUUCUAUUGAAAUGUAUGGGAAUUAGGCUUACGGCCAUACUACCCUGAGAACGCCCGAUCUCGUAAGCUCAGCAAGGGGCGGGCCUGGUUAGUACUUGGAUGGGAGACCGCCUGGGAAUACCAGGUGCUGAAAAGCCCUGCGAUUGGCUGGCAACCAGUUCAGGGUGUACCCUGCCUCCUGCCCGAUGACAGCUGGGAUAGGCUCCAGCACGCCCGCGACCCUAGUGAGGAGAAGCAGCUCAGAAAAUGGAUGGAUGUAUGGGAAUUAAGGGCAAUUUAAUGGAAAUAUAUAUUAAGGCAUAAAUAUAAACGUGUCAUAAGCAAACAUCCAUGCAAAAUAUGUCGCUCCCCUUGCCCACAUGCAAGCGUAUUACAGUACCUUAAUUGAGCCACUGAGAGGUAUAAUGGGCUAACUCCAUUUUUGUCAUUUUGCAGGAGAGUAACUAAAGUAAGUAUAGUUUUAUGGCAGCUGCCCAAUGCCUGCCACUAAAAGUAGUGCAAUAGUCUAAGUCCAAACGUGUCAAAUCUAUCAAUAGUUGAUGAAAGAUGAUAAAUAACAUUCACUUAUACUAACAUGCAGAUGCACUGGCCACCCAAGCUCAUUCCCCAGACAAAUGCCAAUGAUUGACGUCAUGAAUUACACAGCAGAAAAACAUUUUCACAUAGCAAUGCCGCUGUCUGCGGCCGCACAUAAUGCACGUGCCAAAAGCGCUACGGAACACACUAUUACACUAAAAGAAACUUCUGAAAUUACAUCUUUCUUGUAAAUUCCUUAAAAAGAAUCAGUGUAAAUGAAGGAGACAAAGUUAUUCUGGAAUAGUCUUGACUACAUGAUAUGCUGCUUUGCCACUAAAACAAAAAAAAAUUAAAAUAAAUGUCCCCCCACGUGGACAGUUAUAGGUACAGUAACUGCAAUCCAGCCUACCUAAAUCAACAAAAAUGAGAUUACACCUUGUGAUUCCCAAAAAUGAAUAUAAGCAAAACAUGUACAUUCAUGUUGCUUCAUGACACAUCUAAAUUUGUUGAGUUUUAAAACCUUGUAUGACAUCAAAUAUUCUCUCCAUGCAUGCUAGUCAGUUAGGUGCGGAUAAAUGUUUUGCCAUAUACAGUAGACUUUCUUAAUGCAUCCACCCUCCCCGCAGCUGAGUGGGACGCUGUAGGCUAAAGUUAUGUAGUGAUCGGGUCGGGCCAUUAAGCCGAGCAGCAGCAUGCUGUGUGAGCAAACAUCCCUAAUCACAGUUUCUCAUAGACUCCUAAUGAGCCUCCGCUAAUUAGCCAUCUCUCGGCACGUCAAUUGUUUCUCUCUCGCUCCACUCAGUUAGUCCAGCCUCAUUUGUCUGAUAUAGAUUAGUGUGUGUGUGUGUGUGUGUGUGUGUUGGGGGAUCCUAAUCAGGCUAUUGAAAAUCAUCAGUAGUUAAAGUGAGGGUUUAGGAUGGAAAGUCAUCAAAGAUUAAAGGGGCUUUUUAAUAGAUCCAGUAUGUAUAGUGACCCAAACAAAUGUACAUGUCUCUUCAGAGCAAAUAGAACUUUGUGAAUUGUGGAUCUAAAAAGUCUACACAGCACGCCAUCCUUUUCCAUGCAAGCCUAUCUCCUGCAUCCUCCUCUCGAACACCAACUGCCCUCAUGUCUUCCCUCACGACAUCCAUCAACCUUCUCUUUGGUCUUCCUCUAGCUCUCUUGCCUGGCAGCUCCAUCCGCAUCAUCCUUCUACCAAUAUACUUACUAUUUCUCCUCUGGAUGUGUCCAAACCAUCGAAGUCUGCUCUCUCUAACUUUGUCUCCAAAACAUCGAACCUCGGCUGUCCCUCUGAUGAGCGCAUUUCGAAUUUUAUCCAACCUGGUCACUCCGAGAGCAAACCUCAACAUCUUCAUUUCCAGCACCUCCAGCUCUGCUUCCUGUUGUCUCUUCAAUGCCACUGUCUCUAAUCCGUACAUCAUGGCUGGCCUCACUACUGUUUUAUAAACUUUGCCCUUCAUCCUAGCAGCGACUCUUCUGUCACAUAACACACCUGACACCUUCCUCCACCCGUUCCAACCUGCUUGGACCCGUUUCUUCACUUCCUGACCUCGCUCACCAUUGCUCUGGACGGUUGACCCCAAGUAUUUAAAGUCCUCCACCCUUGCUAUCUCUUCUCCCUGUCUCUCCUUUCCAGUGCAUAACCACGAGAAUCACCAAAAGAAGACCAUGCCUACAGUGAAGCAUGGUUGGGGCAGCAUCAUGCUUUGAGAUUGUUUUUCUUCAGCUGGAACUUGGGCCUCAGUCAAGGUGGUGGGAAUUAUGAACAGUUUGGAAUAGCAGUCAGUGUUGAAGCAAAAACCUCAAGGCCAGAAAGCAAAAAUGUGUCAGUAAAAGCCUACAAGAACAUCAGAACUUCAUUUGGGGGUCAAUCAGAGGCACUUCAAACGGUGGCAGGUGUGUGUUGACUCCCAUUUAAGAUGAGUUUGAAUGUGAUUGGUUAAUUCUGAACACAACUUUAGCCCCAGUUAUAAGAGGGUGUGUAUACUUGUGCAACCACAUUAUCUCAGUUGUUUUGUUUUUUUUUACUUCCCUUUUUCCACGCUUUAGGUUGCAUUAAUGAUGGAAAAGGUUGUGAAAUUAUUUAUUUUUGUCUAAUUUUUUUAAUAUCACAAAAACCUGGCAUUUGAACAGGAGUGUGUAGACUUUUUCUAUUUACUGUAAGUCCAUUUAUCAGGUCUCAACUCCUCACUUGUCUCCUUUACAAAUACAGGUACAGUAUGUGAAAAUGCUCCAUAUUUUUAAUCAGAGUGACACUUCAAAACUGUGCAUCGAUUACCAGUCCAGAUGGACUCCACCCUGUACUGGUCACCAGUGAAUCACAGUACAGACAGACAACCAUUCACAGUCACCUUCUUCCCUCUCUGUUUCAUAUUUUAUUUUCAUAUCAGCUUGAACAGGUCUUAACACGGAGAACGAAAAAAGACGUUUCCAUCAUGUUUCCUGAAAAUGGGAACAUGUCAGCCACAAUCUAGCUGAGUUUCUUCCUAUGGCAGCAGGUUGGCCUGUGAAGGAAGGCGCUAAUGGCUUGUUGAGCUGCCGUAAGACCUGUUGGGCCUGGAGGCCGGUCACAGCCAUAUCUCACAUGGUAUCGAUCGGCUCUCAGCUAAGUGUGACCCAGAGCUCUUCAUCCCUUCCUUUUUCAUGUCUUUCCCUCCUUGUUAGUGAUCCUGUAAAGUUAUAACUGUACUCCUGUCAGCUGCGUCAUUAUCAUUGAUCUCCUGCUGCUCCACUGGCUGAUCUGCGCUCCAAGCAUGGACGGACCUCACCAUUGUUGCUGAUACACACGUGUUGUCAUGGAUAUUAACUCAUGCUACAAUCGAGAGAACAACUAAGGCAGCCAUGGACCAAUGGUUAAGAUCAUCGCCUGCCACCGUGAGGGACCUAGGUUCAAGACCCUGACUGAACCAUCAGCCAACAUCCCCCGGACUCACGGCUGUGGUGUCCUUGAGCAAGACACUGAUACCCCAAAAUGCUCCCCGGGUGCUUCAGCUGCCCCCUGCUCCAGUGGGUUCCACUAACAUGUGUAUGUGUUCACUGUGAUGGGUUAAAUGCAGAAAACAAAUUUCAUGUGGAUGUAUGCAUGUUCAUGACAAUAAAAGGUGUUUCUUCUUCUUCUAAUAUUACUGUAGUUUACGCAGUCACUUACAGUAGUUCUGAAACUUCUUUGUUUGUCUGCAUGACUGUAUUAUACUGCCCCCGGGUGGCCUAGUCACUCACACCAGGCAGAGCCGUAUUAUCCUUGACAUUCUAUUUUUAAUUAUGUUAGUACUAUAUGUUUUUAUAAAAUACAAUAUUGUAGUGUUAAUUAAUACAAGUUGGUCCAUCCGAGUACAAAUCCAAAAGACUCAAUGUACUGCUGUUCAAAAAAUGGAUCAAAGAAGUCUACCUUCAAUAAAGCUCUAAAAUGGCAUUCAAAGAGUUUCAUCCCACUUCGUUGUACACUGUAGGCAGGUUCUUCUUCACUGAGAGCCGCGUGAACGGUGUCACAUCAUAACAAAUUGGGUGGACAGGGCAACAGAGCAGCAGAUUGGUGCAUUCAUCACGAGAGAAAUAGAUCAUGUCACCGUUGACUGUUGGCCUAUACGUGCUGCUGUGGGCCUGUGCGGGGGUGCUACAUCAAAUGCAACUGUAGGAAAUGAGGCCUUCAUGACAACUAAUAGGUUUUAGUGGUGUAUAGGG